rnacentral:rRNA from 1 species
GACGAACGCUGGCGGCGUGCCUAAUACAUGCAAGUCGAGCGGACUUACAAAAGCUUGCUUUUGUAAGUUAGCGGCGGACGGGUGAGUAACACGUGGGCAACCUGCCCUUGAGACUGGGAUAACUUCGGGAAACCGGAGCUAAUACCGGAUAAUAUAAAGAACCUCUUGGUUCUUUAUUGAAAGAUGGUUUCGGCUAUCACUUAAGGAUGGGCCCGCGGCGCAUUAGCUAGUUGGUGAGGUAACGGCUCACCAAGGCGACGAUGCGUAGCCGACCUGAGAGGGUGAUCGGCCACACUGGGACUGAGACACGGCCCAGACUCCUACGGGAGGCAGCAGUAGGGAAUCUUCCACAAUGGACGAAAGUCUGACGGAGCAACGCCGCGUGAGUGAUGAAGGCCUUCGGGUCGUAAAGCUCUGUUGUUAGGGAAGAACAAGUGCGAGAGUAACUGCUCGCGCCUUGACGGUACCUAACCAGAAAGCCACGGCUAACUACGUGCCAGCAGCCGCCGUAAUAC